rnacentral:rRNA from 1 species
CAGCAGCCGCGGGAAUACGAAGGGUGCAAGCGUUAAUCGGAAUUACUGGGCGUAAAGCGUACGCAGGCGGUUUGUUAAGUCAGAUGUGAAAUCCCCGAGCUUAACUCGGGAACUGCAUUUGAAACUGGCAAGCUAGAGUCUCGUAGAGGGGGGUAGAAUUCCAGGUGUAGCGGUGAAAUGCGUAGAGAUCUGGAGGAAUACCGGUGGCGAAGGCGGCCCCCUGGACGAAGACUGACGCUCAGGUACGAAAGCGUGGGGAGCAAACAGGAUUAGAUACCCCAGUAGUCCCUGUCUCUUAUAC